UGGGGAAUAUUGGACAAUGGGGGCAACCCUGAUCCAGCCAUGCCGCGUGUGUGAAGAAGGCCUUUUGGUUGUAAAGCACUUUAAGCAGGGAGGAGAGGCUAAUGGUUAAUACCCAUUAGAUUAGACGUUACCUGCAGAAUAAGCACCGGCUAACUCUGUGCCAGCAGCCGCGGUAAUACAGAGGGUGCGAGCGUUAAUCGGAAUUACUGGGCGUAAAGCGAGUGUAGGUGGCUCAUUAAGUCACAUGUGAAAUCCCCGGGCUUAACCUGGGAACUGCAUGUGAUACUGGUGGUGCUAGAAAUAUGUGAGAGGGAAGUAGAAUUCCCAGGUGUAGCGGUGAAAUGCGUAGAGAUCUGGAGGAAUACCGAUGGCGAAGGCAGCUUCCUGGCAUAAUAUUGACACUGAGAUUCGAAAGCGUGGGUAGCAAAACAGGAUUAGAUACCCUGGUAGUCCACGCCGUAAAACGAUGUCUACUAGCCGUUGGGGUCCUUGAGACUUUAGUGGCGCAGUUAACGCGAUAAGUAGACCGCCUGGGGAGUACGGCCGCAAGGUUAAAAACUCAAAUGAAUUGACGGGGUCUAGCUG
rnacentral:rRNA from 1 species